UAUGUUUCGUUGGAGGUUAGUUUUUCAAUUUAUUCAAUUCCAGUGUUGUUUCGUUUUCCGUCUGCUCUGCUGCAACAACAAACGAACCAUGAAAUCACUUCUCAGGAGGAGAAAGCUCUAACUUAAAUAAAAUUCUGUUCAGCAGCUCCAUUGGCAGUCGCUUGAGGCCAGUGGCCAGUUGGACUUUCAUGAUGGACUUGUCAACUCCUGAAGAGGAAGACUUUCCUGGUAGAUUGCUACAUCAGGCAGCUCUGUGGGACAAUGCAGAAUUGUUGGAGGACUUGUUUAGAGGAGAUCAAUCUUUCCACAUCAACAGCCAGGACUCAU